GACCAGCAGACCAGGGACAAAGCUGGAAUUUGAACUGAGAUCCUUCUGACUUCCAAGCCUUGAGGUCUACCAGCUAGGCCUUGCCGCUUCUCCUGGCAGUAAUUUAAGGGCCUUGGCUGCAUGAGGAGAAAGGGCAGAAGUCCAGCUUCUUUCUGCCACCCUGGAGAAGCUUUCCAGACCAGCCUGCUCAGAGAUGAGGUAACUGAGGCACAGAGAAGUUAAGUGACUUUCCCAAAGUCACACAGCUGACAAGUGACAAGUAUCCUUAGGACCAAGGAAGGCACCUGAGCCCCCGAUGUGUCAUGGGAGACCUGGCUCCCUCAUCCUCCCCUGUCUCCCCAAGGACAUCGGGGUGUGGACAGGACGAAACCUCUACAGAAAUGCUACCAGAAGGACUGCUGAUGGAGGUGAGGCGUUCUCGGAGAGAUGUGUCCGUGGCGUCGCUAUGGGUCAGAGAAGACUGGACGGCAUAA